rnacentral:rRNA from 1 species
GUGUCAGCAGCCGCGGUAAUACGGAGGAUCCAAGCGUUAUCCGGAUUUAUUGGGUUUAAAGGGUGCGUAGGCGGUUCUUUAAGUCAGAGGUGAAAGACGUCAGCUUAACUGUCGCAGUGCCUUUGAUACUGAAGAACUUGAAUUGGGUUGAGGAAUGCGGAAUGAGACAAGUAGCGGUGAAAUGCAUAGAUAUGUCUCAGAACCCCGAUUGCGAAGGCAGCAUUCCAAGCCUAUAUUGACGCUGAUGCACGAAAGCGUGGGGAUCGAACAGGAUUAGAUACCCCUGUAGUCC